rnacentral:rRNA from 1 species
CAGUAGCCGCGGUAACACGGAGGGUGCAAGCGUUAAUCGGAAUUACUGGGCGUAAAGCGCACGCAGGCGGUCUGACAAGUCAGAUGUGAAAUCCCCGGGCUCAACCUGGGAAUGGCAGUGGAUACUGGCAAGCUAGAGUGUGUCAGAGGAUGGUGGAAUUCCCGGUGUAGCGGCGAAAUGCGUAGAGAUCGGGAGGAACAUCAGUGGCGAAGGCGGCCAUCUGGGACAACACUGACGCUGAGGCACGAAAGCGUGGGGAGCAAACAGGAUUAGAUACCCGCGUAGUCCCUGUCUCUUAUAA